GAUCCCCUUCCCGCUACGUGGUGGGAACGAGAGAGCAAUACAUAUCCGCACCCAAUUUCUCCAUUAUUGGACCUCCAUCUCAAUCUCAACGAGUGCAAGAUCUGAUCGGCGAUGUCGGCGGAUCGGGUGAUCGGUGUGGCGCUGGACUUCUCGCCGUGCAGCAAGGCGGCGCUCCGGUGGGCGCUGGAGAACGUCGUGCGGGAUGGGGAUCAUCUCAUCCUCAUCCACGUCCACAAGGAUGCUUUCUACGAGGAGGGCGAGAUGCAGCUCUGGGAGACCACUGGAUCUCCACUUAUCCCUCUGGCGGAGUUUUCUGAUCCCGUAAUUGAAAAAAAGUAUGGAGUGAAGACCGAUGUCGAAACCUUGGAUUUACUCAACACAGCUGCAAGGCAGAAAGCUAUUGUGGUUGUCAUGAAGGUGUAUUGGGGAGAUCCCCGCGAAAAGUUAUGUGAAGCCAUUGAUAACAUUCCCUUGAGCAGUAUUGUCAUUGGAAAUAGGGGUCUCGGAACAAUCAAAAGGGUACUUCUGGGUAGUGUCAGCAUUCAUGUGGUGAAUAAUGGUAAUUGUCCAGUCACAGUUGUCAAGAGCUCUGAUCAGCAAGCCUAGCUUCACUAGUUCUGAACGGCAGGUAGCUGAAGUUGUAAGUCUAAUGCUUUCCUUGUCUAUUAUGCCUGUUGGGGAUCUAGUAACCUUUCCUGAAUACUUGGUCUUCUGUGGAGGAUGAUGAAAGUUUGCCGUAACCUAUGUAUGUAUAUGUGUGCAUGUUUCAGAAUAAUCCUGUUUUUAUCUGUGAAGGAAUACUUUUUUUCAGUUGUAUGCAUUGAAUAAAUCCUCUUGUCAUGUGUGACGGCCCUGGGGCUUGGUGGAAGGGAGGGGGA
rnacentral:misc_RNA from 1 species